rnacentral:rRNA from 1 species
UGUACUUUUUUUUGCUGCGGCAGGCUAUCUAUAAUAGAACCAAAAGUUCUUGGGAUAGUAAGAGGUUCUGGCCUCUUUUUUGAGAGCUUCGGCUUUUAGCGAUUUAUUCGCAUAAAGUUCUAUAUAGAAUGCAGAUGAUGACUAUUUUCUAUAUAUAAGUCUUGACUAAAACACGUGCCAGCAGUCGCGGUAACACGAGACAGACAAGUGUUAUUCAUCUUUAAUAGGUUUAAAGGGUACCUAGACGGCAAUUUUAACCUCCACUGGGUUGGAAAGGUACAUCUUUGCUAGAGUUUUAUGUGAGAGGAAUUUAGUACUAACAGAGUAGAGAUGAAAUUCUUUGAUACUGUAGGGCACUGAUAACGGCGAAGGCAGACCUUUAUGUAAAAACUGACGUUGAGGGACGAAGGCUUGGGUAACAAACAGGAUUAGGUACCCUAAUAGUCCAAGCAGAGACUGAUGAGUGCCAUAGAUUAGUGUAUACUUGAUUUAUAAAUGAAAGUGAAAGCAUUCCACCUUAAGAGUAAUGCGGCAACGCAGGAACUGAAAUCAUUAGACCGUUUCUGAUACCAGUAGUGAAGUAUGUUGUUCAAUUCGAUGACCCACGAAAAAUCUUACCACAAUUUGAAUAUUAUAGCAACUAUAGGAAAAUCUUUUAAUAAUAUAAUGUAAGUUAUGUUGUUUAUAUGAUAUAAGUGCUAAUAAUACAGGUGUUGCAUGGCUGUAUUCAGUUGAUGUCGUGAGAUGCGGGUUAGCUCCUGGUAAAUCAACGUGAACCCUUGCCUUAUUUUAAUAGUCAAUAACUAUUACAUAGGGUCGUUGUCUGAUACGUCGGACAAAGAGUAGGGACCAAUACAAGUCCUCAUGGCCCG